GACGAACGCUGGCGGCGUGCUUAACACAUGCAAGUCGAACGGAAAGGCCCUGCUUGUGUGGGGUGCUCGAGUGGCGAACGGGUGAGUAACACGUGAGUAACCUGCCCUUGACUUUGGGAUAACUUCAGGAAACUGGGGCUAAUACCGGAUAGGAGCUCCUGCUGCAUGGUGGGGGUUGGAAAGUUUCGGCGGUUGGGGAUGGACUCGCGGCUUAUCAGCUUGUUGGUGGGGUAGUGGCUUACCAAGGCUUUGACGGGUAGCCGGCCUGAGAGGGUGACCGGCCACCUUGGGACUGCGAUACGGCCCAGACUCCUACGGGAGGCAGCAGUGGGGAAUAUUGCACAAUGGGCGGAAGCCUGAUGCAGCAACGCCGCGUGCGGGAUGCCGGCCUUCGGGUUGUAAACCGCUUUCGCCUGUGACGAAGCGUGAGUGACGGUAAUGGGUAAAGAAGCACCGGCUAACUACGUG
rnacentral:rRNA from 1 species